GGGCUUCUGCUCAUUUUCCCCUUUGUGAACAGAUAUUGGUGGAGAAUGGAACAAAAGCUGGGCACUGCCUUCUCAUGGAAGCCAGGGACCUGGUCCUUAAGGGAAAGGAGAAGUCACCUCUGGACCCUAGGCCUGGUUUUGUCUUUGCCCCAUGUCCCCAUAAACUUCCUUGUCCCCAGUUGACAGCCUCUAAGCCCCUGGCCUGUAGCUUUUCCCAGGCUUACCAUCCCAUCCCCUUCAGCUAGAUAUGUAUCCUGGGAAUAUUGCAGCAGGGAGGAGGUAGCUUGGGAAAGCAGGAUGAAAAAGAAUCAGGUGGAAGGAGUUGGAAAAUUCCGAGAGCGUUUGUAGAGCCCGAAUCUGCAUGACCUAGAAUAUGAAAAGGAAUGGGGGU